GUCAGUCUUCCACAUCGACUAGACUGUCUAUUUAUUUUUACCUUUUCCUUUGGGGCCUAAUUGUGAUGGGCUGGAUGUCUGUGUGCCACUCCCCACCAACAGUUCACAUGCUGAAGCCCUACUCCCCAGUGUGAUGGUAUUAGGAGGCGGGGCCUUGGGGAGGUGAUUAGGUCAUGCGGAAAAAGCCUUCAUGAAUGGGAUUAGUGUUCUUAUGAGAAGAAAUAAGAGAACUCUCUCUCUCUCUCCCCCACCUCCCUCUUCCUGCACCCGGUGAAGAUACAACGAGAAGUCAGCCUUCCAUAAGCCAAGAAGAGAGCUCUCACCAAGAGCUUGACUAUCUGGCCCUCUGACCUUGGACUUCAGCCCCUGGAACUGCUGAAAAUUCUGAUGUGCAUUGGACACAGCUUCCUAGAGGGUCUUCACUGGAGACGUGAUGGAUCACGUGGUCACCUUCUCCUCCUCCUGCCCUUGACUCCUGUCUGCUGGGCUCACUCUCCAAAAUAACUUUCCUUUACAAAAGCCCUUGUCAUAGGCUCUGCUUUCUGUGAGGAAUCCCGGCUGAGACGCUAAAACGAUAUACGAGGAUGAAGACAUGAAGAUGAGUUGUUAAGGGACUGGCAGGGUUGUCCAUCUCUGUGAAGGGGGUUCAAAAAGAUGUUUGGGAAGCACUGGCCCCGAUGACCGUUGGGAUCAUAGCAUGAAGAGUGAGAGUGGUCAGGUCCCCAUCCAGCCCUAAUGGGUUUAUGAGUUUCUGAGUUUUCCACGAAGAACAGCAGAAGAUCCCCAAGACUUUCCAGCCUGUUGAACUUCUGCAUGUGUGACACCGAGGAGAAGCAGAGAGGCAAACAAACCAGAGCAUUUUCACAAACAUUCAGAAAUCCCACAAUCUCCGCAGACUUCGGCACUAUUUCUAGAUCUAAUUAUAAAACAGCAAGUGAUGCUGGCCUAUUCCAGGGAAAUUGUUGAUCUCACUCCAGGCGUGGUCUCUGUCUACAGGUGGUGAAUUUCAGCUACAGAGAACAGUGCAACAGGGACAGAGUCGAACCUUGCCAAUUCCCACCUGGACACAGUGACUACAGGAAAAGGAUCCAGGAGAAUAAAAUUACCCUCCAAAAAAUUGAUUCCUGAGCGGAACACGGAUGUCUGACUCGUAGAAUUUCUGUGUAAGCGAGGGCAAAAUCCCCCUGCUUUUGUUGGUGGUUGGAGUCUCCAGGGCCAUUCAGUGUAUUGAAAGUCUCAGUACUGCUGGUACUCGGGGAGGACUCAGUCCGUUCCCUCUCAAGGCCUUCUGUUUUAUAAAGCCACUUGGGGUGAAGAAGAAAUCACAUUCUUCCCACCCUCUCUUGCCUUUACAAUGUCCACGCUGGCUGGCAGUCCAAGACAACAGUUGAGCUAUUAAAUUUUGAACCUGUGUCCUAACUGUUCAUCAAAAGUGAAGGCAAGAUUGGUGAAGGAAUGUUCUUCAUCUUCAGCCGCCUUUAUCAAGUGGUCAGAAGUUCAGGGGGCGGCGGCUGUGACCUUCUACUGCCAUUUCUCAGUGGCAGAGGGGAAUUUUCUUCUGGGCUUCAGCAGCUGCACGACCCCUGCGUGACCCUCUGACCCUCCCCCUUUCUCCAGCCUCCCACCCCAAGCACGUUCAUGUUGACGCUUCUGCAGAAAAUGGAGAGGGGAAUGGUGCACCCCCCGGGGGCCUGUCACCCCUCACACACCUGCCUCCAUUCUGCGGGAGCCAAGGAGUUGGUGGCAGAGAAGGAUGGCUGGGGAGGAAGGCCUAGGAUCAGUAUUGCAAAGAUGGGGCAGCAGGUGGGGCCUGGUGCCUAUAAGCAGGAAGCUUUGGUUUUAAUUAAUGAUACCUAGCAAGUUGGCACCAGGGGACAGUGAAGGCAGGGAUGGGAUCCUUGGACUGGAAAAGUGGGUGGGAUUCAGUUUGGCUAAGGAUACAAAAGUUCUCAUCCUUGGACUGAAAACCUUCUCUGUCUCUCCCAGUCAUUCAGUCCUAGAACAAUAUCAUUUUCAAAAGGUCUGGUUCGGUCUUCCUAGCAAGAACUGGGCGCUGUGAGCAGCACAGAAGAAAAGAGCACUUUCCAUUUGAAAAAUGAGCCUCAAAGUCCCUAGUUCUGCCUGAAGCCAAAAGCUCCUGACUUCCACCAGUGUCUCUACAAUGGAUAAUGGGUAGUUUUUUAUACUUUGAAAAUCGCUCGGUUUUUUUCUCUGCCGGUUUAGUAAGCUCUCGUAAGCAGUGUUGAACAAGAAAUACUACGUCUCAUGGAAAUGGCUUUAUUUCCACGAUAUCCACAUACAGGCUUGUUUUCAGAGUGACUCAGAAGUGCCGGACAGUGUACUCUGAAUGGAGGGUGAAAGGGAGAUGACUGAAACAUUUGCUCUGGGGGAAGAAACUGAGCAGAGACACCUAUUCAUUCUCAUUGACCUUGGAGGUGGAUAUCAAGUAAUGCUGCAGGUCAGCCCUAAUUAUUUGCUGAGGGGCAGGCAGGGCUCCUGUUCCGUGCUUUGUAGCCACGAUCUUCUCCCGCAGGGAGCUGCAGUAUCGAUGCUGUUCCCAAGGAGGCCGGGUGCGCUGGAUGCGUCCUGGCUCUGCCUGGUCACGUGACAUCUUAGUAGCGUUGUCCUUCAAGCCAGCCAACCCUGGUGUCAUUGGUAAUGCCACAGAGUGACAAAUACCUGACUGUAUAAAACUGGUGACUUUCUACCUGGCUCCCUUCUGGAAUAUUUGCAGUCUGCAAAGCAGUCUGAUCAAACAUUAGAUUAACUUAGCUGGCCUUCAAAAAUAUUGAUUCAAAUGGAAAUCACCUUAAAAAGUUCAGAUGCCCAGUCCCACUUCAGAUCAAUGAAAUAGAAUCACCUGAGAAUGGGGCCUGGGCAUUAGCAUUUAAAAAGUCUUCUCAGGUGGGUGCUUCUAAGGUGCCAGAGCCAGGAACUCCUGACCUAGAGACACAAAAGCUAUCUCUCAGCUGUGUUUUCUGGGAUGUCUGGGUCUCUUCUCUCUGCGAGUGGUGCUAUGACACUCCUCGGUGUGGGCUGGGGGCCACUGAAGAGCGUUCACGUUCCUGGGAUGGGGUUUCACUAUUUCUGUCCCGUUAGGGAAACGGGCAUGGAGUGGGCUGAGCCCACCUGGAAGCGGACACCACACACACACACACACACACACACCCUCUUCCCAGGUUGAAAGGCUGCCGGCACCGAUCACCUGGCUGGGCACUCAAGGUUUUCAGUAACCAUGGGAACUGCAGUCCCGUGACCUCAACUUCUAAUCUAGGGAGAUUUUCUCGCCCAUAUUCUGGUUUCUCAUUGAUGAAAAGGGUAUUUAUGGAAGACGCAAACUCAAAGCAUACAUGGAAAGCUGGUGUGGCUGUCUUAGGAUCCAGCAAAGUAGGCUUCAGGAGACAGAGUAUAAACAGAGGUGAUUCCCCUCAAAUGCCCGGGUCCCACCCCGUUCUCCCUACCCCCGCACUGCCUGGGCACGGGGUCCUUCAGACCCUGUGGUUCAGCUGCAUCUGCAGGACUGCGAUCUGGAGAGAGGCGCCUGGGGCCACGCCUCUGGGGGCCCUACAGGUCCUCUGGGGUCCAGACUCCCCAGUUCCUCCUUACACUACCCGCUCUGGAGUGCUUCUCCCCACUUAUUCUCCCUUCUCUCACCCUCCAGGCCCUUGGCAUAAUCUCAUCCAGGGAUUUAGCUUUUACAAAAGCAGGGAAGAAUCUCAGCUGGCCCAAAUCCCGGAGGCAGGGAAGUGUGAAGCUUGGCUACCAGCUGGAAAUGGGUGUGGGUGCGGAAUGAAGGGAACCAGGCUCAAAUCAGCAUUUUAACAGUCAGCCCCGCCCCCCAUGUCCUGCCACCGGCCCCAAGGGCCCAGAGCAGCUCCUGGUUUCUGACCUGGGCUGUUCCAGUCUCUGGGUCUCUGUUUGGACAAGAGAUGCAGAGGAGCUGACUUUCUUAUCUCUCCCCACUGGCAGCUCAGACUUUCAUGUGUAUAAGGAAGCCCUCACUUUUCUCAGGGACCUCCCAGGUCACUCAGAAGUCUCACUGAAUUGAGUUAUUUCUCUGCAGCAGCAUAAGGGUAUACAUUUGGCUUGGGGACCAAAUCCUCACUGGGGAUGUUUGGUCCUGACCCUCCUCUGUGUUCAGGGAAGAGAGCCCUUCUCACUCAACGAUGCAGAUGUGCUCUCAUAUGAAAAGCUCAGUAUGGCUAAGCAUUAGAGAAAUGCAAAUCAGAACUAAAACGAGGUAUCACCUCACACCAGUCAGAAUGGCCAUCAUUUAGAAGUCUACAAAUAAUCAAUGCUGGAGAGGGUGUGGAGAUAAAGGAACCCUCCUAUACUGUUGGUGGGAAUGUAAAUUGGUGCAGCCAUUAUGGAGGACAGUACACAGGUUCCUUAAAGAACUAAAACUAGACUUAUCUUGUGAUUCAGUAAUCCUACUCCUGGACAUAUAUCUAGAGAAAACUAUAACUCAAAAAGAGAUAUGCACCCCAGUGUUCAUAGCAGCACUAUUUACAAUAGCCAAGACAUGGAAACAACCUCAAUGUCCAUCAAUAGAUGACUGGGUAAAGAAGAUGUGAAAUACACACACACACACACACACACACACACACACACACACACACACACACACACACACACAGGAAUAUUACUCAGCCAUAAAAAAGAAAGAAUGAAAUAAUGCCAUUUGCAGCAACAUGGAUGGACCUAGAGAUGAUCAUAUUAAGUGAAGUAUUUCAGAGAGAGAAAGACAUUAUAUGAUAUCACUUCUAUGUGGAAUCUAAAAAAAAAAUGAUACAAAUUCUAUUUACAAACCAGAAAUAGACUCACAGACAUAGAAAACAAACCAUGGUUACCGAAGGGGAAAGGGUGGAGAGGGAUAAAUUAGGGGCCAGGGAUUAACGACACACAUUACUAUAUUUAAAAUAGGUAAACAACAAGGACCUACUGUAUAGCACAGGGAACUAUAUUCAAUUUCUUGUAAUAACAUAUAACAGAAAAGAAUCUGAAAAGAAAAAGAAGCAUGUAUAUGUAUAACUGAAUCACUUUGCUGUACACCUGGAACUAACACUGUCAAUCAACUACACUUCAAUAAAAAAUUUAAAAAACAAUACAGACGUGUUCUGUCUGAUGAUGAAAUCGCACUGGUGGGGCGACUAGGAACUUGCUACUCAAAGCCAGGUCUGUGGACUAGCAAGUGUCAUCUGGGAGCCUCUUAGAAAUGCAGAUUCGAGGCCGACCCCAAUCCUGCUGCAUCAGAAUCUGCAUUUUAAUAAGAUCCCAGGUAAUUUGUACACACAUUAAAAUUUAA